rnacentral:lncRNA from 1 species
AGAUUUAGCUGGUGGUGCAGAGAUCCGUGAGCUUGCUUUUACAGGACUUUAAUGAUAUAUAAAAGCAGCACGAGGUGCUCCUGACUGUGGAUUAAUUUGGAGAUGACUUUCUCUGUUGAAGAGUAGCAAGACUCUCGCGAGUUCUUAAAAAUGCACUUGUUUGGUAUGAGAAUGAAAAGCAGUGGCUGAAGAACCAAUCUUCAAUGGGCAAGCCUUCUCUGACAUCAAUAUCUGGCUUUGAGUGGCACAAAGAAAUAAAGGAAUGUGGAUUCAGACCUCACUGGGAUGCUUGGCAAUUCUAAUUCUACCCCAGACUGCAAAUGGACACACAACUGUUGUGACUUUUGUUGAAGAGGAGAAGGAUGGUGAAGGUCUCUUUAGUCAAUAAUCUCUUUGCUGAAAUUGCUUCGGGCAGCACAGAAGCUGGAUUCAGAAGCACACAGGUCUGGGGAUGCAGGCUUCGGCCAGCCUGAUGCAAGGAAAGACUGCCAUCUCGUGGUCAGCUCAAUCCUGGCACCUUGGUGAGGGACCAGGCUGCAGAAAACCAGGCUUGGGGAGGAAACGGUGCUGCAAACUGGAUUUCUGCCGGACAGUGUGGAUGCCCUUAGAAAACACCCAGAAAAGAGCUGAGUGCCCCCCAAGACUUGCCCUGAAUUCUUUCAUGUGCAAUAUCCGAAAACCCUCUCUUGGGGCCUGGAUCAGGACCCCUUUCCUAUAACAUCUUUCUGGCGACAACAAAGGGACAAUGGUGUGGAAUCCCCCUUCCCAAAUGCUACUUUUAGGCUGUUUCCCAUAUAAGGUUCAUGACCCCCAGUGAGGAUGAAACUGCCUGCAAGGUUUGUCUUCUCUCCUGUUCACUGGUUACUCAGCCAGGCUGAUUCAUGGGCUUCUCAAAGGAGCUUGUUUAUCAGAAGCUUGUCUAAGACACCACGUCUUCCAGAAAAUCUCACCUGAGUCACCAACAGAUUCCUCUAAGAGUCUGUAAGCCACUCCUGACCAGCAGGAAACCCCAACAGAGGCAAAGAAUAGGAAAUUAAAUAUUUCGUCAAGAAAAAAUGAGAGGCUGGGUGCGGUGGCUCAUGCCUAUAUCCCAGCACUUUAGGAGGCCUAAGCGGGCGGAUCAUUUGAGGUCAGGAGUUUGAGACCAGCCCGGCCAACAUGGUGAAACCCUGUCUC